AAAAGGUAAAUAAUUACACAGGUACUGUCAAUAGAUUGUCAUUUUUAAAUUGUCAGCACCAAGAAUUGUCUUUAUUAUUCACUCAUCUCGAGCACCGCGGUGAUUUUAAAUUCAUUGCGUUUUCCAAUCAGAGGCUGAUCGUUAAAAAGUUAUAAAACGAACGUAUUCUAUUUCACUCCAGUGAUAAGUAAUAAAAAACCGUAGAAAAUAUCUCGUUUCAAAAUAACGCGGAGAUUUUCUGCAGUGGAAAUAUGAAACGUAAAUAAUAUUCUAACAAAGCUUGUACAAGGUGCAUCGAAGUAAAGUAGAUGGACAUUAAAAUUUUAUUGACGUGUCUCAUCGUUCAAGCGUCGGCGUUUUGUCCCAUUGGGUAUCGAUACGAUAAAAAAGACGGAAAAUGUCAAGAAACCAUAUUAAAAGCAUUAAUAAGUAGUUUAACAAGACGUAUAUACAGUCGUUCACCGAGCAAACUGGGAUCCGCAGAUAAUUUCAGAUAUGCGGUUUCAAAAUUCGUAGGCAGCGAAGGCAUGAUUGAUACAUAUCUCUGUCCUACAACAUGGAAAUAUGAUUUCGUUAAAAAACGAUGCAUGCAGCCCCCGCCGAAAAGGAGAUACAUGGAUUUACAAACUGUAAAAUGCCCGUAUUGUAAUUUGAAAGAGGAGAAGAUUGAUAAAGUAAAGAAAAAGAAGCCGACAAAAUUAGAGAGAGUGGAUCUGUUUCAAGUUCCACUGUAUAUUGCGAGAAGUAAGAGGAAUAAGAAAGCUUUAGCUGAUGUUAUUGAGAAAGUUAUGAAAAUAUAUCGAUGAUGGUAUUAUAAGUACCUACAGCCGGCUGAUUGGAACUUUAAUAAACGUCAAAAAUUA